UGGAUACAGUGAUGCCAUCAGGUGUGGUAUGUGAUCACAGGCAACUCAGGAACAGCUCUCCAGCCCCAGGACUUCUGCUGGAACCGCUGGGAGUUGGAAGCUUUCUUCCCACUGAGGGGCAAACCUUCUAGGUAUCUGAAGAUGUUGAAGACCAUUUCCUGGAACAGCAGAGGUAAAUGCCCAGAGGAUGAGAACACAUAGCCAUUAGGAGAGCCUGAAAGUUCAGUGUGACUGAAAGAUGAAGUUCAAGAGAAGGGACAAACUGCAAAACACAAGCUGGAGAGUUUUAGGUAAGAGUCAUAUCACAAAAAGCCAUUAAGCAUUUUAAAAUGCUUAGCCUUUAUCCAAAGACUAAUGGAAAGGCACUGACAUGACCUAAUCAUGAAUGAGAAGAUUUGAUUAAAUAUAUCUCUCUACAAUGAUGGAGAAUGGACCAAAAGCAGGCGGGGACAAGGACAGUAAACUCUGCUAGGGACUGCUAGAAUGACCCUGAAAGAAUAGCCCUGAAGAUAGAAAGAAGUAGAUAGUUGCCAAAGAUACCUGUGGAAUACAAAAGUACCAGUGCCCACCAGAUCAAACUACACAUGGAUCUGAAUCUCAGAAAAGGGCUCCGAGCUAGGGAAAGAGAUUUAGAAGCCUUCAGCAGAGAGAUGAUGUUUUAAGCCUUAGGAGUGAAUGAAAUUACCCAGAGAACAUGCAUGAUGAGAAGAGAACCUGGAACAGCAGGGGCCAAGAUUUAGGAUCUGUCAGACAACGAGGAGCCCAAGACUGAGACCUGUUAAUCCAAAAUGCACCAUUUUGUAAGCUCCCUGCCAAUAUGCAGACCUUGGUCAAAGUGAAACAUUCCACGAGGGUUCGGGCCAUGAGAACCUGCCUGCCCAACCGCCUGACUUUAACACAUUCUGCUGAGAAAAAGUCCAAGGAACAUCAUUAUUACAUUCUGUGGGAACAAGGCCCCAACUGCCUCAUUGUGGGAACGUCUUCUCAACAUCUUCCCUGGCAGCACGCCAUACUGCCCAGACCCCUCCCUGCCAUACCUACAAGUAUCCCAGCCUGUAAGCAGUGGUGGGCACUGGCAUUAAGCUGGUCCUCCACCUCGGCAGGUUUACCUGGACAUAAAUACCUGCAUUUGCUGUUGAGCCGCCCUCUCGCUCUAUGUGUGUCUUUAACCCUCACCUUCCCUUGGAAACCUAACAAGAAGCAGGAGCCAGGAAGGUAGGAGGAAGACAGAAGCCCAUGGUGUUAAAAACAGCCACAGGAAUUAUGUAGAACAGUGAUUCUCAAAGUGAGGUCCACAAACUCUCGGGGCUCCCAUGACCCUUGUAGGAGGUCCACACAAGCCAAAAUAUCUCUAUAUGGAUACUAAGGUGUUAUUUGUUGAUUUCAUUCUCAUGAGCACAUGAAUGCAGAAUGGAGAUUUCCGGAGGCUACCGGAAAGGUGAUAUUGCAACAAACUGGAGAAACAACAUCAUGAAAUUUCUCCAUUUUAAUUUCUAAUAAAUAUCAAUGUUUAUAAGCAAAAUGGUUUUUUUGGUGGGGUGGUUUUCAACAAUGUAAGGAUAAACAGAUCCUGUGAUCAAAGAGUGAGAACACAGCCAUAGAGAGCUUUACAAAGGGCAUCAGUAUUAAUGUCAAAUGUUACUGAGGCCUCGAGGGAACUAACCAGUCAGAAGCAACCAUCGAAUUUAGUAAUGGACUUCACUCACUUGGUGAAAGCUGUUCCGUGUCAUGGUGGCAGAGACACAGCACAGUGGCUGAGAGUGAGCAGGAGCUGUGGAAGUUGAAUAAUGCCUGAAGGGACCAUUCUUUCUAUCUCAAUGGCGGGAACACCUUCAUGGCCCCUUUAUAGCUGGUAUGUUUUCUUCUUAUGGACAAUGAGAAACAUGUAAUAAACUGUGUUUCCUUCUCGCUAGGAAACCCUGAGUUAAAGCUUUACUUCCCUCUCAGGAACCAUCAAAGAGCCAUAAUCUGUACACCCUGGUGCAACAUUUCCCCUGGAUUUGAUCCCCUUUCAAUUGUUUUAGCCUUAUUUUACAUUUCUUAAAUCUAUUUCUCUA
ensembl:lncRNA LINC00944 long intergenic non-protein coding RNA 944